rnacentral:rRNA from 1 species
GAUGAACGCUGGCGGCGUGCCUAAUACAUGCAAGUCGAGCGAACAGAUGAGGAGCUUGCUCCUCUGACGUUAGCGGCGGACGGGUGAGUAACACGUGGAUAACCUACCUAUAAGACUGGGAUAACUUCGGGAAACCGGAGCUAAUACCGGAUAAUAUAUUGAACCGCAUGGUUCAAUAGUGAAAGACGGUUUUGCUGUCACUUAUAGAUGGAUCCGCGCCGCAUUAGCUAGUUGGUAAGGUAACGGCUUACCAAGGCAACGAUGCGUAGCCGACCUGAGAGGGUGACCGGCCACAGGGGAACUGAGACCCGGUCCAGACUCCACCGGGGGGAAGCAGUAGGGAAUCUUCCGCAAGGGGCGAAAGCCGGACGGAGCAACGCCGCGGGAGUGAUGAAGGUCUUGGGAUCGUAAAACUCUGUUAUUGGGGAAAAAAAAAUGUGUAAGUAACUAUGCACGUCUUGACGGUACCUAAUAAGAAAGCCACGGCUAACUACGUG